AGGACGAACGCUGGCGGCGUGCUUAACACAUGCAAGUCGAGCGGAAAGGCCCUUCGGGGUACUCGAGCGGCGAACGGGUGAGUAACACGUGAGCAACCUGCCCUUAGCUCCGGGAUAGCUCCGGGAAACCGGAAUUAAUACCGGAUAUGACCUAGGCCGACAUCGGCUGUGGUGGAAAGUUUUUCGGCUGGGGAUGGACUCGCGGCCUAUCAGCUUGUUGGUGGGGUAAUGGCCUACCAAGGCGACGACGGGUAGCCGGCCUGAGAGGGCGACCGGCCACACUGGGACUGAGACACGGCCCAGACUCCUACGGGAGGCAGCAGUGGGGAAUCUUGCGCAAUGGGCGAAAGCCUGACGCAGCGACGCCGCGUGGGGGAUGGAAGGCCUUCGGGUUGUAAACCCCUUUCAGCAGGGACGAAGCGAAAGUGACGGUACCUGCAGAAGAAGCGCCGGCUAACUACGUGCCAGCAGCCGC
rnacentral:rRNA from 1 species